GGUAGUUUGAUUUUAAUGCUGUUGAACAAUGGUUCAUCUCAGAAUUGUUUCUCUGAUUAUUCUCGUAAUCUUGCGACUAGAAUUUUGUUCCAGUAGAAAUAUUGACGAGUGUUCUGGUGCACCCUCCGAUGAUAUUUGUUCUGUUGGCGAAUCGAAUUUCGUGUACCGUUGGUAUUAUAAUGCCACAGAGAAAAAAUGCUCAAGUUUUUUAUAUGAUAAUGAGUGUGGAAACAAUGGAAAGAAUUUUUUCCUCACAGAACACAAAUGCCAAUUGAAAUGCUUGUAAACUAAAAUUAAUUGUGUUUAACAUUUGAAAUUGUAAUAUUUCCAGAAUAAUUAACAAACAAUUGCUUUAAUGCGUGCAUCAUUUGACAUUUUCUAAUCAGUUACACAAAUCAAUGCAAUAAAAUCAAAUCAGAGUAAA